UGGGGAAUAUUGGACAAUGGGCGAAAGCCUGAUCCAGCCAUGCCGCGUGAGUGACGAAGGCCUUAGGGUUGUAAAACUCUUUCGUCGGGGACGAUAAUGACGGUACCCGAAGAAGAAGCUCCGGCUAACUUCGUGCCAGCAGCCGCGGUAAUACGAAGGGAGCUAGCGUUGUUCGGAAUCACUGGGCGUAAAGCGCACGUAGGCGGCAAUUCAAGUCAUCUGUGAAAUCUCCGGGCUUAACUCGGAACGGUCAGAUGAUACUGCUUUGCUAGAGUGCAGAAGGGGCAAUCGGAAUUCUUGGUGUAGCGGUGAAAUGCGUAGAUAUCAAGAGGAACACCUGAGGUGAAGACGGGUUGCUGGGCUGACACUGACGCUGAGGCGCGAAAGCCAGGGGAGCAAACGGGAUUAGAUACCCGAGUAGUCCCUGAGCGGGCUGGCAAGGCGCAU
rnacentral:rRNA from 1 species